GAUGAACGCUGGCGGCGUGCCUAAUACAUGCAAGUCGAGCGAACGGACGAGAAGCUUGCUUCUCUGAUGUUAGCGGCGGACGGGUGAGUAACACGUGGAUAACCUACCUAUAAGACUGGGAUAACUUCGGGAAACCGGAGCUAAUACCGGAUGAUAUUUUGAACCGCAUGGUUCAAAAGUGAAAGACGGUCUUGCUGUCACUUAUAGAUGGAUCCGCGCUGCAUUAGCUAGUUGGUAAGGUAACGGCUUACCAAGGCAACGAUGCAUAGCCGACCUGAGAGGGUGAUCGACCACACUGGAACUGAGACACGGUCCAGACUCCUACGGGAGGCAGCAGUAGGGAAUCUUCCGCAAAGGGCGAAAGCCUGACGGAGCAACGCCGCGUGAGUGAUGAAGGUCUUCGGAUCGUAAAACUCUGUUAUUAGGGAAGAACAUAUGUGUAAGUAACUGUGCACAUCUUGACGGUACCUAAUCAGAAAGCCACGGCUAACUACGUG
rnacentral:rRNA from 1 species